rnacentral:lncRNA from 1 species
AUUAAUCUAUAUAGAUUAAGUACCUGAAGUGAAAUGUACAUGAAAUAAAUAAAUACCUUUUUUAAAAAAUAAAUUGCCAUGAGAAAGGAAUGAAUAGCAUGCUAUUUGUGUCUAUUUUAACUAAAGGCAUUACAGAGAUCUAACAACAUUUCUUCAGGAUUCAAAUAGAUUGUUCCAGGCCUGUAGAGGGAGCCAUUGUAUUUAUGCAGAAAUCUUUUAAAAUAGAUUCCACCCCCCACCUAAGAGAAUAAGAAGGUUUAUAAAGGAACAUAAAUCCUUCAUAUCGUGCCAGAUAAUUCUUUCACAUUGCAGGCAAAUAUCUGGUAUAUGGUUCUGUAGUCAUAUGUCACAGCUAUUUUGAAUCAUAUAUAUUUGGAACUAGAUAUCACUUGUGACCAUAGUUAAUGCAAAUUAUUUUCGGAAUUUCAAAGUAAUCUUGGUGUGUAUGUGUGCUGUGCUGUGCCAUCAAGUUGGAACUGACUGAUAGCAGCCCUAAAAGGGCUUUUGAGAGGUCAGAGCUCCACCUGAAGGACUGUCUGGUCCAAGACCAAUUUAAAGACAAAGAAAGGCAAAAAGAAAGGACUUGGAGAGAAGCUUGAAAGGCAAAUCUUGAACUUGCCCAUCAACAGUUGACAACUGGACACCAGGCAGAGCAAUAGGUAAGACAGCCUUCUGGUUAUUGUCUUCCUCACCGGCACAUCUUUUUGUCUAAAUUAUAGCCAUUUUAAAAAAUUGUGUGUGAAUACAUAUAUAUGUUAUAGUAUUACAGUAUAAUAAUAUACGUUAUUCCUCCCGGAGCAAGGCACUUCCUCUCUUUUUCAGUGACUUACAUAUGACCCCCUUAAUUUGGGAAUAGCUGUUUUCCCUUUUGUCCAGUCUUCCAGACAUGUAUAAUACACAGGACCAAGAUUCCCUCUAAGCUGGGCACAUGUGCAGGCAGGUGUGACUCCAUCUCCUUCUCUUCCUCCUCCAUGCAGUGAUUGUGUUUAACUCUUUUGGUUCCAGUUGUGAUGGAACUCUGUUUGUUGGUGGGGGGUCUGAGUCGUAUGCACAC